rnacentral:rRNA from 1 species
ACCUAGUAAUAGGUAUGCUUUAGGAGGGGCUUGCGCCAUAUUAGUUAGUUGGUAGGGUAAUGGCCUACCAAGACGAUGAUGUGUAGCUGGACUGAGAGGUUGAACAGCCACAUUGGGACUGAGACACGGCCCAAACUCCUACCGGAAGCAGCAGUAAGGAAUUUUCCGCAAAGGAGGAAACUCUGACCAACCAACGCCGCGUGAAUGACGAAGUACUUCGGUAUGUAAAGUUCUUUUAUCAAGGAAGAAAAGCAAAUGGCGAACCAUUUGUUGGCCGGUACUUGAUGAAUAAGCCCCGGCUAAUAUGUGCCAGCAGCCGCGGUAAGACAUAAGGGGCAAGUGUUAUCCGGAAUUAUUGGGCGUAAAGGGUGCGUAGGCGGUCUAGUAAGUCAGUGGUGUAAUGGCAACGCUUAACGUUGUCCGGCUAUUGAAACUGCUAAACUUGAGUUAGAUAGAGGCGAGUGGAAUUCCAUGUGUAGCGGUAAAAUGCGUAAAUAUAUGGAGGAACACCAGAGGCGUAGGCGGCUCGCUGGGUCUUAACUGACGCUGAGGCACGAAAGCGUGGGGAGCAAACAGGAUUAGAUACCCUGGUAGUCCACGCCGUAAACGAUGAGUACUAAGUGUCGGGUUAAACCGGUACUGAAGUUAACACAUUAAGUACUCCGCCUGAGUAGUACGUACGCAAGUAUGAAACUUAAAGGAAUUGACGGGACUCCGCACAAGCGGUGGAUCAUGUUGUUUAAUUCGAAGAUACCCGAAAAACCUUACCAGGUCUUGACAUGUUUUUGCAAAAUGAUAGUAAUAUCGUGGAGGUUACCAGAAACACAGGUGGUGCAUGGUUGUCGUCAGCUCGUGUCGUGAGAUGUUAGGUUAAGUCCUAAAACGAGCGAAACCCUUAUCGUUAGUUGCCAGCACGUUAUGGUGGGACUUUAACGAGACUGCCAAUGAUAAAUUGGAGGAAGGUGAGGAUCACGUCAAAUCAGCAUGCCCCUUAUGACCUGGGCUACAAACGUGAUACAAUGGCUGUUACAAAGGGUAGCUGAAACGCAGUUCUUGCCAAUCCCCAAAAACAGUCCCAGUCCGGAUGAAAGUCUGAAACUACACUUCAANAAGUAGCAAUAG